AAGUCGUAACAAGGUUUCCGUAGGUGAACCUGCGGAAGGAUCAUUAUCAGAAAUGGCGGCGACGCGUUAGCUAUUGCCACCAGGUUAGGACCAAUACAAUAUACUUACUUGUGUUUAAAAAGGAACAACCAAAGCAAUACAACUGCAAACGGUGGAUCACUCGGCUCGCA
rnacentral:misc_RNA from 1 species